AUUCUGGAACCUGUAUUUUUCCAGUUCUCCAAGGACUCUCGCUCUGAAAUGAGAAAACAGAUGCUCCUUGCAGCUGGUUUCACCUAUUAGCUCUGUAAUCCAUCCUAGAAGAGAGCUUUGCUUCGGUAAUAGCAAUGUGUUCAGUCUGGGUAGAUGUGCAGGAUGCCCGCCUGACAGCAUUAAAUCGCAGAGAUAUCCUUCUGGGUGGUAAUGGAAUUUUACCUUAUUUGCUCCUUCCCAGGCCUGCAUGGGAAGGAAGGAGGAGUGUUAAAAGCAAGCUCAACAGGUUUAUGGACACCAUACAUUUAUCGGUGCCUCAAUUUCCUUAGCAGGUAAAUGAUAAACAUACUUCCCCAAUUUAAUUCACUGGACUGUUAGGAAGGAUCAUGGUA
rnacentral:lncRNA from 1 species